GAUGAACGCUGGCGGCGUGCCUAAUACAUGCAAGUCGAGCGAACAGAUGAGGAGCUUGCUCCUCUGACGUUAGCGGCGGACGGGUGAGGAACACGUGGAUAACCUACCUAUAAGACUGGGAUAACUUCGGGAAACCGGAGCUAAUACCGGAUAAUAUAUUGAACCGCAUGGUUCAAUAGUGAAAGACGGUUUUGCUGUCACUUAUAGAUGGAUCCGCGCCGCAUUAGCUAGUUGGUAAGGUAACGGCUUACCAAGGCAACGAUGCGUAGCCGACCUGAGAGGAUGAUCAGCCACACUGGAACUGAGACACGGUCCAGACUCCUACGGGAGGCAGCAGUAGGGAAUCUUCCGCAAUGGGCGAAAGCCUGACGGAGCAACGCCGCGUGAGUGAUGAAGGUCUUCGGAUCGUAAAACUCUGUUAUUAGGGAAGAACAAAUGUGUAAGUAACUCUGCACGUCUUGACGGUACCUAAUCAGAAAGCCACGGCUAACUACGUG
rnacentral:rRNA from 1 species